rnacentral:tRNA from 1 species
GGGCGAUUAGCUCAGCUGGCUAGAGCAUUACAUUGACAUUGUAAAGGUCACAAGUUCAAGUCUUGUAUCGCCCA